UACGGAGGGUGCAAGCAUUAAUCGGAAUUAUUGGGCGUAAAGGGCGCGUAGGCGGAGGCGCAAGUCAGAUGUGAAAUCCCGGGGCUCAACCUCGGAACAGCAUUUGAAACUGCGCCCCUUGAGGGUAGGCGGAGAAAACGGAAUUCCACAAGUAGCGGUGAAAUGCGUAGAUAUGUGGAAGAACACCGGUGGCGAAAGCGGUUUUCUAGCUUAUGCCUGACGCUGAGGCGCGAAAGCAAGGGGAUCAAACAGG
rnacentral:rRNA from 1 species